CCUACGGGUGGCAGCAGUGGGGAAUAUUGCACAAUGGGGGAAACCCUGAUGCAGCGACGCCGCGUGAGUGAAGAAGUAAUUCGUUAUGUAAAGCUCUAUCAGCAGGGAAGAAAAUGACGGUACCUGAGUAAGAAGCACCGGCUAACUACGUGCCAGCAGCCGCGGGAAUACGUAGGGGGCAAGCGUUAUCCGGAUUUACUGGGUGUAAAGGGAGCGUAGACGGCAGUGCAAGUAUGGAGUGAAAGGCGGGGGGUCAACCCCCGGACUGCUCUGGAAACUGUACGGCUUGAGUGCAGGAGAGGUAAGUGGAAUUCCUUGUGUAGCGGUGAAAUGCGUAGAUAUUAGGAGGAACACCAGUGGCGAAGGCGGCUUUCUGGCUUGUAACUGACGCUGAGGCUCGAAAGCGUGGGGAGCAAACAGGAUUAGAUACCCCUGUAGUC
rnacentral:rRNA from 1 species